rnacentral:tRNA from 1 species
CGCUGGGUAGCCCAAUGUGGCAGAGGCGCCGGUCUCAGAAACCGGCCAGUGUCGGUUCGAAUCCGACUCCAGCGA